rnacentral:rRNA from 1 species
AACGAACGCUGGCGGCAUGCCUAACACAUGCAAGUCGAACGAGACCUUCGGGUCUAGUGGCGCACGGGUGCGUAACGCGUGGGAACCUGCCCUUAGGUUCGGAAUAACUCCCCGAAAGGGGUGCUAAUACCGGAUAAUGUCUUCGGACCAAAGAUUUAUCGCCUUUGGAUGGGCCCGCGUUGGAUUAGCUAGUUGGUAGGGUAAAAGCCUACCAAGGCGACGAUCCAUAGCUGGUCUGAGAGGAUGAUCAGCUACACUGGGACUGAGACACGGCCCAGACUCCUACGGGAGGCAGCAGUGGGGAAUAUUGGACAAUGGGCGAAAGCCUGAUACAGCAAUGCCGCGUGAGUGAUGAAGGCCUUAGGGUUGUAAAGCUCUUUUACCCGGGAUGAUAAUGACAGUACCGGGAGAAUAAGCUCCGGCUAACUCCGUG